rnacentral:lncRNA from 1 species
AGUAAAUCUCAAGUAAGGUACCUGCCAUCGGCAGAUUUGAGCUUUCUUCUUGGACACCUAAUACCCACAGUCCUCCAGGCUCCGGUAGACUGCAAAUGACCUGCUUUCUUUCUGUUCCCGGGCUGCGUUUGGACCCCUGUCGGACAGUAAAUCCCAAGUAAGGAAUGGAACAGAUAAGAAGAUACUGAAAUUGGACGGUGCUGCCGUGCGGCUGCCGCAGGACACCUUUAAUAUCCCUGUUUCUCAGGCUGUAGAUGAAGGGGUUCAGCAUGGAGGUGAUCACCGUGUACAUCACUGAGGCCACUGCAGCCUUUCUCGGGGAAGAUGACACAUCUGAACUGAGGAUAACUUCAGGAAGUGGGUAUUAAUUCUCACGGUAUAAGUGAAGACAUUAAGCACCAGAGUUUAAGUAGCUUGAUCCACUGAAAGAGAUUCAACUGUGUGGAACCUAUGCCGUGGAGAAUUGCUUUCUGCCAUUGUUAUCGUCCAGCAGUUGCCGAAUAGCUCUGACCUGAGCAAAGCAGUGAAACGCGGUGCUGUUGAGUGGGUUGCCACUGCAC